UCGAAGGAGAGUGGGACGACUGCAACCUGCUGCAGCUAAGUAUGCAAGGAUCGCGCCGACCGGCUUCCGAGUCGAGAUCCCACUAAGUCCCACCGCAGUCACCACAGCCAGCCCUGCCCAGGCCCGGGUAGUCCUGUUGGCAGCCUGCCCCUAUGCAGCUUUUGGCAGUACAGAACAGCUUCUUGGGGGCUCCCACGUGAGAAGGCUGUAACAGACAGCAGCCACGAUGAAACACGCUGAAAAGAGCCAGCAGAAAAAAACGAGGAGAGACUGGUAUGACGGAGUGGAAUUCCGGUUGUGGAUGACAGAAUGGAAAUUAUACGCAAGAUGAAAGAGUUAAGACAAAUUACUCUAAAAAUAUCUGACUUACUUGUUUCUAAACCCUGGGGCGCCCUUAG
rnacentral:lncRNA from 1 species